GGGGAUGUUUUGGUUUUGACAGCACAAGACAUCGGACUGUAAGCAUACCGGGGCAGGUGACCCACCCCGUCAUCAAGGUUACAAAGCCAUAACUGGCAACAACAACUAUGCACUCGCUGCGUAAGUAAACCAGGUUUACUACCUUAAUCGCGGUCGCCGAGGGCGAUAGCGACGAGUAUCCCGCCGGGCUUUCCGCCUGCUAUGUCCGGCAUACGGGGUAUCAUCCAAGCAGGAUGCGGCUGCUGACUCCCUUAAGGCAGCUUAAGACUCAGGGGAUAAGGAUUCAGUGGCGCGUCUGUCCGCAGCUGCUUCCCGAAAACCAAUGGCAGAAUAAGUAUGUAGAAAGCACUCGGGUGCUGUGUUUGGACGGCGGUUCGAGUCCGCCCAUCUCCACAA
rnacentral:tmRNA from 1 species